AGCCUUUUAAUUAGAUCUAUAUAACUUUAUAUAUUUCGACUGAAUUAAAUACAUUUUAUAAGGUUAAACAAGCCAUAACCUAUCAGAAUUUUAAUCAAACCAACUAUAGGAACACAAAAGUAUUUCAUCGAGUAAAAAAGAGUAUUUUUUUGAAGUAUCACACUAAACGAAAUCUAUGUCUACUUUCAUUAUUGGAUUACUGAACUUCCAUGAAAUCAUCAUCUACUACAUUGAUGAAGAAAUUGAAAAACACACACUAAAGAAAAAGAGAAAGAAAAAAAGAAAGAAAGAAAGAUUCUUUCAUUAUUGGAUUAUCGAACGUAGACGAAGUCACCAUCAUCUACAUUGAUAUAGAAAGUGAAAAACACACACUGAACAAGAAAGAAAAUUAUAGAAAGAAAGCUGCUUAGUUUUUGAUAAUCCACUUAUUCAAAAGCCUUUUGAUAGUUCUUAAGAACAGCUUUUUCUUCCUCAGGUGUAAAAUCAUUCUCAAUGUUGAAGCGUUGGCGGAUCUGUUUUGGAGUUUCCUCUUUGAUCAUAUCCGCGACAGUUUGGCAUGUUAGGUCAGUAAGGCUUUUGAUGUUUAGGUGAUUCGCAGCCAUAAUGAGAUCAAAGAUCGUGGAU
rnacentral:lncRNA from 1 species